UACGUAGGGUGCGAGCGUUGUCCGGAAUUAUUGGGCGUAAAGGGCUCGUAGGCGGUUUGUCGCGUCGGGAGUGAAAACUCAGGGCUUAACCCUGAGCCUGCUUCCGAUACGGGCAGACUAGAGGUAUGCAGGGGAGAACGGAAUUCCUGGUGUAGCGGUGAAAUGCGCAGAUAUCAGGAGGAACACCGGUGGCGAAGGCGGUUCUCUGGGCAGUACCUGACGCUGAGGAGCGAAAGUGUGGGGAGCGAACAGG
rnacentral:rRNA from 1 species